CUUUGUUCCCAGGAAUUAUAACUAGAUUCCAAGUUGUAAUGACAUGGAACUCCUGCUGCAUUUACAUAUGGGUCUUUUACAGGUUAGGCGGAUUGAGCAGUAACCUGGUUUUAACAUUAUGUUUCAGUGGGAUUUCAACAUGUAUUAUAUGAAAUAAUGUGUGUCACUUUUAAUAGCUAGAUGAAUUGGGUCACAAUAAGUUUUUACAAUAUUUA